GCAUUACUCCCUCCGUCCAACAAAAGAUGUCUCAAGUUUGUCAAAACUUGGAUGUAUCUAGACAUGACUUAGUGUAUAGAUGCAUUCAAAUUUAGUCAAACUUGAGACAUCCUUUGUUGGACGGAGGGAGUACAAU
rnacentral:pre_miRNA from 1 species